UGUCUUAGUUAUUCAAUUUUC
rnacentral:piRNA from 1 species